GUGCUUGCUUCAGCAGUUUGUAUACUAAAAUUGGGAUGAUACAGAGAUUAGCAUGGCCCCUGUACAAGGAUGACACACAAAUUUGUGAGGUGUUCCAUGUUUUU